rnacentral:rRNA from 1 species
UACAUGGGGUGCAAACGUUUGCUCGGAAUUAUUGGGCGUAAAGCGCGCGUAGGCGGUUACUUAAGUCGGAUGUGAAAGCCCUCGGCUUAACUGAGGAAGUGCACCCGAAACUGAGUAGCUAGAGUACGAAAGAGGGUCGCGGAAUUCCCGGUGUAGAGGUGAAAUUCGUAGAUAUCGGGAGGAACACCGGUGGCGAAGGCGGCGACCUGGGUCGAGACUGACGCUGAGGCGCGAAAGCGUGGGGAGCAAACAGG